AUUUAUCACUCACUCCAUACAUGUGGUAACGAUAAGCUUGUGUUCUGUGUCUGUGAGUCUGUGUCUGUUUCAAAAAUAAGUUCAUUUGCAUCAAUUUUAUUUUUUUGUCUUUUUUGCUAUUUCUUGGGCCGCUCCCGCGGUAUAUGGAGGUUCCCAGGCUAGGGGUCCAACCGGAGCUGUAGCCACUGCCCUACGCCAGAGCCACAGCCACGCGGGAUCCGAGCUGUGUCUGCAACCUACACCACAGCUCACGGGGCAACGCCGGAUCAGUUAACCCACUGAGCAAGGGCAGAGACCAAACCCACAACCUCAUGGUUCCUAGUCUAAUUCGUUAACCACUGCGCCACGACGGGAACUCCUGUAUCAUUUUUUAGAUUCCACAUAGAGGUGAUAUCAUAAGGUACUUGUCUUUCUCUGAUUUACUGCUCUUAAUAUGAUAAUCUCCAGGUCCAUCCAUGUUGCUGCAAAUGCUAUUAUAUACAUGUCUCUUUUCUUUUUAAUUUUAUGGUUGCACCCUCCAAAUAUGGAAGUUCCCAGGCCUCAUCUUUAGAGUUGCUACCCCUCUCUCUUUAACCCAGGCUGCCAGGAAUUUCUGCGAAGAGAACCCUGAUGUGCAGACAUGGGAAAAGCUUCAUGGAGCUGUUGUUUCUUGGCAGUCAACAUUCCCCAGAGUAUAGAUGCUAUUACCGAUCUUGCUUAUGAUCUAAAGGAAGGUUUGACAUUGUUGAGACUGAGCUUUGUAACUAACUCUUAGCCCAAGGCCAGGACUGGGAAAAUGAGAAUUUGCUGAGAAAGUGACCCCCACACCCAAACACAAAGUGCGAGCCACUGUACUGAUCACCUGCCAUGAAAGGAACCGGGCUUGGAUUGAUGUCCAAAUAUUGCCAUUGACUUGAUGAAGUAAAAUGAAACUGGGAGCAGACCCAGGGACUUUCAAAUAGAAAUGUUUCUAUUGUUUUUAUCGUUCUGUGUUACGGGAUUUGAAAUGAAAUACCCACAAAAGACUAUCCCCUGCCGUGGGUGGUGAGCUGGGAAAGGCGGGUCGUGAUAAACAAGAAGAGGAAACACAGCAAAGCAAAGAUGCUUUGUGAGGAGGCCGGCACUCCAGUCCUUCAUCAAGGAUGAGGACCAAACAAAGCAGCAUCUAUCUGUCUGAGACAAAGUUCUAGAAAGCAUCCCUCGUUGGCUACUCAAGGGUU
rnacentral:lncRNA from 1 species